CCUACGGGAGGCAGCAGUGGGGAAUAUUGGGCCAUGGGCGCAAGCCUGACCCAGCAACGCCGCGUGAAGGUCAGUGCCCUAUGGGCGUUAAACUUCUUUUGUGCGGGAGCAAUAAUGGUCACGUGUGGCCAGACGAGAGUACCGUACGAAUAAGCAUCGGCUAACUCCGUGCCAGCAGCCGCGGUAAUACGGGGGAUGCAAGCGUUAUCCGGAUUUAUUGGGUUUAAAGGGUGCGUAGGCUGUGAGGUAAGUCAGCGGUGAAAUGCCCCCGCUCAACGGGGUGAAGUGCCAUUGAUACUGCCGUGCUGGAAUGCGGAUGCCGUGGGAGGAAUGUGUGGUGUAGCGGUGAAAUGCAUAGAUAUCACACAGAACACCGAUUGCGAAGGCAUCUAACGAAUCCGCGAUUGACGCUGAUGCACGAAAGCGUGGGUAUCAAACAGGAUUAGAUACCCUUGUAGUC
rnacentral:rRNA from 1 species